GGGCUUAACGCGUCUUGUAUACAGAAACCCAAGAGAUCCGAUUUAAGAAUUGAUCACAUGGAGAUGUAUAGCCGCGUGCGCACACAUACACACAUACGGAUGCAGAGAAAUUGCGUGCUAAUGCAAAAAUUAAAUUAUAUAUAUAUGAUUUAUUUAUUUAUGGCACAAAUUAAUUGCAGAUUAAUCUUUUAAUUGAUGCGUAUCUUUACGAAAACAAACACUAAAUUUGUGACGUCGUAAAUCGAUUAAAGAAAAAAAAGAGAUGAAAAGAGCGAUGGCUCCGAAAGAUGGAUCUAUAAAAAAAAAAGGAAUGGGUUAUACGCUGAAAUAACAUCCCAAGCCAAAUAACAAGAACUUAUUUUUGUGUGAAAAAUAUUUUUACGGAACAAAUAUUAUUAAAAAAAAUAUAGAUACAAAAAAUAAUAUAGAUUAUCACAAAACAUUUCAUCUAAAUAGAAGCAAAAAUUUGUAUUUUGCAUAUUUAUCUCAAAAAUUAUAUAUGCAUUAUAUGUAUAUUCCAGGUACACAAAGUUACUGGUCCAUCCUGUAUAUGUAUCAAUAUCUAUACAGAUUAAUCUCAAUAUAUAUAUUUCACAAUUUUAAACUUUAAUUAGACAUAUGAUAAGAUCGUAUAACAUGUGAGUAUACAUAGAAACAAUUAACAAUGGUAAAAUAAACUUAUAUAUAUUAUAAAUAUCUAAAUAUAUCUUGAUAUGAUAAAUUAUUAUAUGUUCUACUAAUCAUAUAUAUAUAUAUAUAUAUGUAUGUAAUAAAUAAAUAU